CCUACUUAGUAUGGCCGUACCCACCUCUCCAUCUAGAUUUUCCUAUUCGUCGUCUCUCUCCCCCUCCUUCCGUGAUUCCCCUCUCACCCGAGAUCAAUGGCAUGACACUGACCGGCACCGCCGAUUGCUCCUAGCUCCAGCGCUCUCCCAGACGUCACUCACCUACCCUGCUGCCCCUCGGCCUCUCCUCUGAUCCUCCGCCACUGCGGCCUCCUCCGGACCCCUGCACAUGCCCCUGCAUCUAGCCACCACGGGUGGCUGGUGCGACUGUCGCGUAGGUUCUCUACCCCACGUCUGCAUGCGCGCCGCUGCCGGAUAGGUUCGAAGGUGCUGCCCCCCCUCGGCUACCCCGCCUCCAUCACCGGCUGAUUAAAUGGUGUAGCCGCAAAACUGCACAAUUAACCAGUGACGACGAGCAAAAUUGCAGAUCUUUUCGUCAUGCCCACACGCCGUGGAGCCACCGACCUGCCUGAGCCGCCCCUGAUCAGUGCCAACUCCGCGAGAGAAAACUAUGUAAGAGCUUCAGUGCUCAAGUCAGAAACUUGUACGAUUUCACCUUGCAACAAUUGCUCAGUCAGAACUCAUGGUUCUCCAUUGGCUAAUUUCUCAGAUUAGGAGUUGAGAUAAACAUCAAUAUGCUAAAGAUUACAGAGAAGUUUCCCAGUCUAGAAAAGAAAAUAUGACGCCAAGGUGAUCUAUGCAGCUGCGAUGCUGAAAAGUUUGUGUACGUUCUUCUGACCAUCUCUCAAAUGUCUCACAUAUCUUUUUAUAGAUCAAGUGUUGAUGACAUUUGAGCAAAAAAGUGUGUAAUUUCCAAUUCUACAGUACUACUAAUGCUAUUUUGAUGCAAUGCUAUGCCUGAUAUCUUCUAGCAUUCCCUGUAGUUUUUAUACUGAUGUAAAUAUAGUACCAAACCGGUCCGUAUAACUGAAUACAGAGUUUCUAAGGGUCUUGUUGCUUGGAGAGGCUAAUACCCCAUUUUGUCAAGAUAUUUACACUUCUUGUACUAUAGUUUAUUACUUUUGUUCUAAAAUUUACCUUGUUUUACUAAAUUACGUUGUUACUACAGUUUUGCAUUGUUGUACUUGAAUUUGCCUUGCCAUUGUACUAAAAUUUAACCAUGAGUAGGCAGGAAUAGCUCAUGGGAGCCAAAUAAUGAGAAAGAAGUACUCAGGAGAACAUAACUCAAAAUCUACUUAGGAUGUGACCUUCAAAUAACUCAGAAAUGAUAACUAGUACAUGAUUCAUGAUAGAAUUGCACCAGGCACAUGACAUCCAGUUACAUAACUGUAUAUAGUAGAUUGUACUUGAUGGCUAUAUUGUUCCUCUUAAACUUGUUCGGGAAACUGGUUUGGUCUGAAUUAUAUAUGAUGAAAUUUAGUUAUGUUCAUUUUUUGGGCGCAUUAUCAAAAUUCAGUCAUUUGUUUUCACAGUAGUUGCUUGCAUUUAGUAGGUGAAAAUAGUGGGUGAAGAUGAAUGAUUUUGUGAUACAAUUUUUUUAUAUUGUUUCAUUAAAAUAUGGCUGGAUCCCCAAAAAGAUUUAUGUUUAACAUAGUUAUUGUUGAACCACUAGAAUAAUUACACCCCGGUUGGAACACACGGCAAUUUCCUAGCAUAUUUAAUAAAAGUCUUGGUAAAUCAUAUUUGUGAGCAUGUAACACAGUACCUAAUUUAGGUACAUCCAAAUUUUGCAUGACAUAUGCAUCAUUUUCUUUGAACCUAAAGUAUUUUUAAAUUGUUGAAACCUUGCAUCUAUUUGUAUUUUCUAGAGAACUGGAAAUGUUUCUUUGAAAAAGAAUGAUGUGUGGUAUGUCAGCACAUGUUUUUUCAAACGAAGUAUGUCAUUUCUUGUAUUACUAUUUUAAGUUUUUGUUAACUCAAUUGACAGAUAGCAGAUUUGUUCAUAAGAAUACAAGGAUCAAAAGCGCUUGUCAGAUGUAGGUUAUUAUUUUCCUCUUCAUGCAAAGCACCUACUCUCAUGGCCUUCAACCUUUUUAUGUUGCUCCUCCUUUACAUUUUGCUGCUCUAUUAACCUAAUUUUCUCUAUCGUAAGUUACUCAUCUCAUGGUUUUUGUAGAUUGCAACAUAAAUGGAUUGUGCAUGGCUCGCAUGUUGAUUGCAAGGAUGAGAAUGGGCUACUAUUAUAAUUAGAGUUGUCAUUUUCAGGACAAUGUUUCAAUAGUUGAUUGUAAGGUCAAGAAUUUGGCUAGUACUAGAUAAAAACAUUAUAGCGAUUGCUAGUUGAGAAUUUGGCUACUACUAUAGAUAGUUUCACAUCUUGUAAUCUUUCAAUCAUAUUCUUUGUAAUGCAACAUAGUUGAUUUAAUAUAUGAGAUGUUUCUAUUUA